rnacentral:rRNA from 1 species
GACAGAGGGCGCAAGCGUUAUUCGAAUUCACUGGGCGUAAAACGUCUGUAGGCGGUUCAUCAAGUCUUAAAGUUAAAUAGGUGAGCUCAACUCGGAUUUGCUUUGGAUACUGAUGAACUAGAGUGCCGGAGGGGGUAUUGGAAUUCCCGGUGUAGUGGUGAAAUACGUAGAUAUCGGGAGGAACUCCAGUGGCGAAAGCGAAUAACUGGGGCGUAACUGACGCUGAGACACGAAAGCGUGGGGAGCAAAAAGG